GUACGGGAGGCAGCAGUGAGGAAUCUUGCGCAAUGGGGGCAACCCUGACGCAGCAACGCCGCGUGAGUGAGGAAGGUCUUCGGAUCGUAAAGCUCUGUCGGGUGGGAAGAAACGUAUGGAAGCUAAUACCCUUCAUACUUGACGGUACCACCAAAGGAAGCACCGGCUAACUCCGUGCCAGCAGCCGCGGUAAUACGGGGGGUGCAAGCGUUGUUCGGAAUCAUUGGGCGUAAAGGGCGUGUAGGCGGCUUGGUAAGUCAGAUGUGAAAGCCCUGGGCUUAACCCAGGAAGUGCAUUUGAAACUGUCAGGCUUGAGUAGGGGAGAGGAAGGUGGAAUUCCUGGUGUAGAGGUGAAAUUCGUAGAUAUCAGGAGGAACACCGGUGGCGAAGGCGACCUUCUGGCCCUAUACUGACGCUGAGACGCGAAAGCGUGGGUAGCAAACAGGAUUAGAUACCCCGGU
rnacentral:rRNA from 1 species